CGGCGUGCAUAACACAUUCAAGUCGAACGAAUUACUUACAGUGAGACCUUCGGGUGGAUCUGUAUUUGACUUAGUGGCGGACGGGUGAGUAACGCGUGAGCAAUUUGCCUUACAGUACGGGAUAACGUCCGGAAACAGACGCUAAUACCGUAUGAUGCAAUCGGGACGCAUGUUCUGAUUGCCAAAGAUUUAUUGCUGUAAGAUGGGCUCGCGUCUGAUUAGGUAGUUGGCGGGGGAACGGCCCACCAAGCCUACGAUCAGUAGCCGGACUGAGAGGUUGAACGGCCACAUUGGAACUGAGAAACGGUCCAGACUCCUACGGGAGGCAGCAGUGGGGAAUAUUGGGCAAUGGGCGAAAGCCUGACCCAGCGACGCCGCGUGAAGUGAAGACGGUCUUCGGAUUGUAAACUUCUUUUAUAUGGGACGAAGAAAGUGACGGUACCAUAUGAAUAAGCCACGGCUAACUACGUGCCAGCAGCCGCGGUAAUAUGUAGGUGGCAAGCGUUAUCCGGAUUUACUGGGUGUAAAGGGUGUGUAGGCGGGAUGGGAAGUCAGAUGUGAAAAUUAUGGGCUCAACUCAUAACCUGCAUUUGAAACUGCCGUUCUUGAGGUUCGGAGAGGUAGACGGAAUUCCUGGUGUAGCGGUGAAAUGCGUAGAUAUCAGGAGGAACACCGGUGGCGAAGGCGGUCUACUGGACGAAAACUGACGCUGAGACACGAAAGCGUGGGGAGCAAACAGGAUUAGAUACCCUGGUAGUCCACGCUGUAAACGAUGAAUGCUAGGUGUGGGGGAGCAAUUUUCCGUGCCGCAGUUAACGCAAUAAGCAUUCCACCUGGGGAGUACGGCCGCAAGGUUGAAACUCAAAGGAGUUGACGGGGGCCCGCACAAGCAGUGGAGUAUGUGGUUUAAUUCGAAGCAACGCGAAGAACCUUACCAGGUCUUGACAUCCAACUAACGAAGUAGAGAUACAUUAGGUGCCCUUCGGGGAAAGUUGAGACAGGUGGUGCAUGGUUGUCGUCAGCUCGUGUCGUGAGAUGUUGGGUUAAGUCCCGCAACGAGCGCAACCCUUGCUAUUAGUUGCUACGCAAGAGCACUCUAAUAGGACUGCCGUUGACAAAACGGAGGAAGGUGGGGACGACGUCAAAUCAUCAUGCCCCUUAUGACCUGGGCUACACACGUACUACAAUGGACGUUAACAGAGGGAAGCAAUACAGCGAUGUGGAGCAAAUCUCAAAAAUAACGUCUCAGUUCGGAUUGUAGUCUGCAACUCGACUACAUGAAGCUGGAAUCGCUAGUAAUCGCGAAUCAGAAUGUCGCGGUGAAUACGUUCCCGGGUCUUG
rnacentral:rRNA from 1 species